CCUACGGGGGGCAGCAGUGAGGAAUAUUGGUCAAUGGACGAGAGUCUGAACCAGCCAAGUAGCGUGAAGGAUGACUGCCCUAUGGGUUGUAAACUUCUUUUAUCUGGGAAUAAAACGUUUCACGUGUGGGAUUUUGUAUGUACCAUAUGAAUAAGGAUCGGCUAACUCCGUGCCAGCAGCCGCGGUAAUACGGAGGGUCCGGGCGUUAUCCGGAUUUAUUGGGUUUAAAGGGAGCGUAGGCGGAUUGGUAAGUCAGUUGUGAAAUUUGGCGGCUCAACCGUAGAAUUGCAGUUGAAACUGGCAGUCUUGAGUACGGUAGAGGUAGGCGGAAUUCGUGGUGUAGCGGUGAAAUGCUUAGAUAUCACGAAGAACUCCGAUUGCGAAGGCAGUUCACUGGACUGCAACUGACGCUGAGGCUCGAAAGUGUGGGUAUCGAACAGGAUUAGAUACCCGAGUAGUC
rnacentral:rRNA from 1 species